CGGCGGACGGGUGAGUAACACGUGGGUAACCUACCUAUAAGACUGGGAUAACUUCGGGAAACCGGAGCUAAUACCGGAUAAUAUUUCGAACCNCAUGGUUCGAUAGUGAAAGAUGGUUUUGCUAUCACUUAUAGAUGGACCUGCGCCGUAUUAGCUAGUUGGUAAGGUAACGGCUUACCAAGGCGACGAUACGUAGCCGACCUGAGAGGGUGAUCGGCCACACUGGAACUGAGACACGGUCCAGACUCCUACGGGAGGCAGCAGCG
rnacentral:rRNA from 1 species